CUUCCUCCAUAUUCCAACUCAUAGUAAGUUCCUUCCGAAUAUUUUCUGCUUCAGUUGCCCGUUCCACGGAGCCUGGUUGUGCAUUUAUCACAUCGAGCUGCUCCAUCAAGCCCUUAAUUCGUGUACUAUUACGUCCAUCAAGCCCUUAAUUCGUGCACUAUUACGUCCAAUAGUAUCAUUCCUCCAUUGUACAAGUCGACGCGAGCAGUCUCGUAAGUUUACCGAGCUGGUCCUUUCUUCCAUCUUGCCUCAACUGUACUUCUAUAGCUCUCUUCUGCCAUCCAACUGACUUCGAACUUAAAUCUUCUUCGUCCACUAGCCCUUCUGAUUUCCAUAUUGUACAACACAUUCGAUAAUCUCUAAGUCGAUCCCAUAUUGUACACUUCUAAGUCGAUAUGUAACAUAUACAAAUAUCGAGACGGGUGCAUAACAAGGUCAAAAAAUACUUGUGUACAAUUAACAGCGGGACGAGAAUGGAAGAAACCUUGCAUGACAUUAUCGACAAAAAUAUGUUUCGAGAAAUGUACAAUUACGACGCUUCUAAAGUUUCACUAAUUGCACUCAUUUAUCUAUGCAACACUUCUACUCGCUUCGCCUCUAGUGUCUUCGUUGUCGUUUAUACUUUUCUUUGUCUCGAUCCUCAUUCUCGUCCGCUCAUAGGUUAAGACAUGUCGACGGGAAUGGAGUUGCGAUCCUACCAGCACUAAUGUACCACAUUCAUCAACACUCAAUAGGAAUGAAGUAGCAGUACCUACAAACAAGACACAAAACAAAUGAAUAACCAACUUUGAUCGAUCCAAUUUAUAAAAUUUAAGACCAUUAAGUAACAUUUGAAACUUUCGAGACCAAGCUUGAAUUAGCUUAAAUAACUAUAAUCGUUGGUUAUUAAUCGGUUAACUCACUGGGUUCGCGACGAAAUCGGGCCAAAUACCUUCUUCAUUUGGUACAAAAUUUGGGUCGUGUUAUGCACCGGUUAAAGUGAUCGUAAUUCGUCGUAAAUUAUACAUUUCGAGACCAAUGCAUAACAUUUGAAACUUUCGGCACCUAAUACGUUGUAAAUUAUACAUUUCGAGACCAAUACAUAACAUUUGAAAGUUUCGGCACCUAUUAAGUAACCUGUUCGAAUUUUCGAAAUUACCUCAAUAAACGAACUACAACCCGGAUCUAGAAACGGGCUUCUGAAGCAGAGCAGUCAAGUAAACUUCGCCGUUCUUCAAUCCGCCGGAAUCCGUCUUAUUCGCCACCGCCCAUUUCA
rnacentral:lncRNA from 1 species